rnacentral:rRNA from 1 species
GACGAACGCUGGCGGCGUGCUUAACACAUGCAAGUCGAACGGAAAGGCCCUGCUUUUGUGGGGUGCUCGAGUGGCGAACGGGUGAGUAACACGUGAGUAACCUGCCCUUGACUUUGGGAUAACUUCAGGAAACUGGGGCUAAUACCGGAUAGGAGCUCCUGCUGCAUGGUGGGGGUUGGAAAGUUUCGGCGGUUGGGGAUGGACUCGCGGCUUAUCAGCUUGUUGGUGGGGUAGUGGCUUACCAAGGCUUUGACGGGUAGCCGGCCUGAGAGGGUGACCGGCCACAUUGGGACUGAGAUACGGCCCAGACUCCUACGGGAGGCAGCAGUGGGGAAUAUUGCGCAAUGAGCGGAAGCCUGAUGCAGCAACGCCGCGUGCGGGAUGACGGCCUUCGGGUUGUAAACCGCUUUCGCCUGUGACGAAGCGUGAGUGACGGUAAUGGGUAAAGAAGCACCGGCUAACUACGUG